rnacentral:rRNA from 1 species
CACGUAGUUAGCCGGGACUUCUUAGUCAGGUACCGUCUUUUUCUUCCCUGCUGAUAGAAGUUUACAUACCGAAAUACUUCUUCCUUCACGCGGCGUCGCUGCAUCAGGGUUUCCCCCAUUGUGCAAUAUUCCCCACUGCUGCCUCCCGUAGGAGUCUGGACCGUGUCUCAGUUCCAAUGUGGCCGUUCACCCUCUCAGGCCGGCUACUGAUCGCUGACUUGGUAGGCCUCUACCCCACCAACUAUCUAAUCAGACGCGGGCCCAUCCUGUACCGUCUCGGCUUUUCACACUGUAACAUGCGUUACUGUGCGCUUAUGGGGUAUUAGCAGCUGUUUCCGGCUGUUGUCCCCCUGUACAGGGCAGGUUGCCCACGCGUUACUCACCCGUCCGCCACUAAGUCACUUACUUCUUCCUCCCGAAGGAUUUAGUUGUAAGCGCUUCGUUCAACUUGCAUGUGUUAGGCACGCCGCCAGCGUUCAUCCUGAGCCAGGAUCAAACUCU